GCAGCGGCAGAGGGGCCCUGAUGCUGCAGGCCUGGUCCCCGCCGGCUCAACCUUAAUGCGCUGCGGUUGCCCACCAGGUCUUUGGCAGCCCCACCCCAGGCCAUUCCUGGUAGAAGUCUUCCCCGCUGCUGGGGCUGCGGCUGCGGCUGCAGUGGUAGCUCCUGCGAGAAGCCUGCAGGGGGCGUCAUCCCCUCUUCCGACGAUGUGGGUAGCGGCCACUGCCUACUGCCUGCUGUAGGGGAAGGUGAGGGAUCCACGCAAGACCCAUUCUGCAGCAGUUGGUCAUCCAGGUAAUCCAGUAUUGUCUCCUUCAGCCACCGAGAGAAAGGGAGGAGAAGAUCAUGCAACAUUACCAGCAAGACUGAACCCACAAGUGCUGAGAACUCCUCGCGUUCUGCUUUGAUGCUACAUUGACGUUCCAUAGCAUGGAAAAGGGGCUGGUUUCCCAAUGUGGAGCGGAAGUUUAUGCCUUCUAAGGAAUCGAAGCUGUAAACAUCCCUCCCACCUAGGCACCUGGAGUCCAUCUUUCAUCUGGCUCUGAUCAUCUUGGCCAAGAACACACCUCCUAACUCUCCUCAGCACAGACCCCACAGUUUUCUGGAGGGCUACCCCCAAAGCACACAGAUGAACACGGGGCUUCCACUGAAGCCUGCUUUGUGUUAAAGAUUCUUAGUUAUAGAUUCAAGUCUUGAGAAAAAGCAGCGCCUCUCUAACUGUGGCACGCCGCCCGCCCUCCCUUGCAAGGCAAAGCUGAGCCUCCGAUGAGAAGAAUGCAUGUGAGGUGGCAUGCUGCCGUUGGCCACUGGCUAACAGAGAUGCUGUCACAAAGUAAUGGAGUGGCACAGCGACCCACUGGCCUCUUCCCCCCCCCCCCCAAGAAUUGAGUGCUACAGUUUGCAAAAAGUGUUUCUGUUAAACUGAUUGUGUGGCAGAACCAUAGUAGACUUCCAUGAUGACUAUGGAUUGACAUUCUUCUGACUGUCCCUUUUCAUUUUUAUUCCAAAGCUAUAACAAGGUGAAAACAGGACUAGAUAUAUUUUAUUCGUGUGUUCUCAUUUAUAUAGGGACCACGUUUUUCAUAACAAAGUACUAUAAUCAUUGAUCACAAAUAGCCAAACACUGAGAAAUGAGCAAAGAAUUACAAAGGUUGGGAAGCUUUUAUGAAGUUAAUUUGAAGAAAUUAAUCUCUGGAGAUGUUGUGUCUCCUAUAAAGUACAGCUCCUGGCAACAUGCUGGGCCCUGGGACACCAGAAGAGGCUUCUAUGGGCCCCUCCCCAUGACAGCCACCCCCUGUAGAUGUCACAGGUUUAUAGACUAGAAGGGCACAGUCAACAUCAGCUUUCAAUAUGAAAGAGCUUAUUUAUGCUCUCAUUUCAAAAUGAAACAAAUAUACAGACAUUCUAGAACUUUACCCCUGGACACCCUGCAAGGGGUAGUCACCCCUUGUAAAAUACCUACAAAUGACUCCUUGCAGUUAACCCUAAUAACCUGCUUUUCUUUAGCCUCUGAGCUAAACUUUCCCCUUUAUUUUCAGUUUUAGUUUUUAGUUAGCUUAAGAAGAAGCAGGAUUCUUUAUGGAAUUUUCAUAUUUAAUUUUGGCUGAACACACACACACACACACACACACACACACACACACACCUUAAAUUUAACUAUCUACAGAUUCACCUCCACAGGCCUGUCCCAUUGAAAGGGCUGAUGAGUGUGAUUUCCGGGGGCCCUGGCAAGCUAACCUUCCGUAACCAAAUACUGCCUCAUGUCUCCUGUUAUGAGAACAAAGAGAUGGAGGGAAUCCCGAUGAUCUCCAUGUAUUGAGCUGCAUUUUGGUACCAGCCACUAUGCACGCAUCAAGGCAGUUCUUGGUAGGAAAAGUGCUUGCUGCCAAGUACAUGGUGGCCUCGCUGAGACAAAGUCCCAGGAUUUCAGCCUUGCUCAAUACCCUUCCCAUUACAUGGUCAUGGAACCAAAUCCAGCUUCCAUAUCUUUCAGAAUAGGCUACAGGGAAAGCAAUUCACCUUCCCUGUGCUCUCUGUGAUAAUGAAGUCUGCUUGACUUUAUGACUUAUAUGGGCUUGAUGAACAACAUACCUGCUACUU
rnacentral:lncRNA from 1 species